GCUCACUUUGGUAGAGCAUAUACUAAAACUGGAAUGAUAUAGAGAAAAUUAGCAUGGUCUUCAAUCGAGGUUGACAUGCAAAUCUGUAAAGGAUUCUGUAGUUUU